rnacentral:rRNA from 1 species
CCUACGGGAGGCAGCAGUGGGGAAUAUUGCACAAUGGAGGCAACUCUGACCCAGCAACGCCGCGUGAAUGAUGGAGGUCUUCGGAUUGUAAAGUUCUGUCAUGGGGGGUGAACACAAUGACGGUACCCCAAUAGCAAGCCACGGCUAACUACGUGCCAGCAGCCGCGGUAAUACGGAGGUGGCAAGCGUUAUCCGGAGUGACUGGGCGUAAAGGGUGCGUAGGUGGUCAAGUAAGUUGGCGGUGUAAGUCCGGGGCUCAACCUCGGCACUACCGCCAAAACUGUUAGACUAGAGUGCAGGAGGGGUAAGUGGAAUUCUUAGUGUAGCGGUGGAAUGCGUAGAUAUUAGGAGGAACAUCAGGGGCGAAGGCGACUUACUGGACUGUAACUGACACUGAGGCUCGAAAGCGUGGGGAGCAAACAGGAUUAGAUACCCCUGUAGUC